ensembl:snoRNA
GCCCUCCAGUUUCCUUCCCCAUGGGAUCUAAACAUUGGUCUGAGUGGUUACAAAAGGAGGAAAAGUAACAAUGAAACAGACUUCAACGCUUUUGUUGCAAAUGGACUAGUUUCAAACAAUU